rnacentral:sRNA from 10 species
AGGAUAAAAACUGGGGGGUAUUAGAAGUUUAGAAAGAUGCAGAAGCUUAGGCGUUUGUAUAUUUCGAAUACGGACAAAACCAAACCCAGAAGUAUAGAGUUCAGAUCGUCCACAACCUUUUGGUUGGAUCGGAACUUGAAGUUGGA